GGCUGCACCUCCUGUUGGCUUUACUUUCAAAGCUUUUGGAUACAAGUUUGUACUUCCGAAAUAUGCACCUGGUUGGAUCUACUUUUGGUUACUUAUGGCUGCUGGGUGUGGGCUUUUCAUUAGUGAAGAGGCUCUAAAUAUUUGGGUCUGUCCUCUUCACUGGUACUUCUGAUUUACAAGUUUAGCUCUUUACAAGUUUCCAAGCGUGUCUUAACUUAACCAGCAUUUCAUGAGUAGUAACACUUCAACUCUACCGAGCCUGACUCUAUUUUUACAUACCUAAGA